GAUGAACGCUGGCGGCGUGCCUAAUACAUGCAAGCCGAGCGAAUGGAUUAAGAGCUUGCUCUUAUGAAGUUAGCGGCGGACGGGUGAGUAACACGUGGGUAACCUGCCCAUAAGACUGGGAUAACUCCGGGAAACCGGGGCUAAUACCGGAUAACAUUUUGAACCGCAUGGUUCGAAAUUGAAAGGCGGCUUCGGCUGUCACUUAUGGAUGGAUCCGCGUCGCAUUAGCUAGUUGGUGAGGUAACGGCUCACCAAGGCAACGAUGCGUAGCCGACCUGAGAAGGUGAUCGGCCACACUGGGACUGAGACACGGCCCAGACUACUACGGGAGGCAGCAGUAGGGAAUCUUCCGCAAUGGACGAAAGUCUGACGGAGCAACGCCGCGUGAGUGAUGAAGGCUUUCGGGUCGUAAAACUCUGUUGUUAGGGAAGAACAAGUGCUAGUUGAAUAAGCUGGCACCUUGACGGUACCUAACCAGAAAGCCACGGCUAACUACGUGCCAGCAGCCGCCGCCG
rnacentral:rRNA from 1 species